AGGUGCGAUCAUACCAACGUUAAUGCAUCGGAUCGCAUCGAAACUCUGCAGUUAAGUGUGCUUGGGCUAUAGUAGUACAAGGAUGGGUUACCUUCAGGGAAGUCCUAGUGUUGCACCCU
rnacentral:rRNA from 1 species